CGAGUGAACAGGGAUUAGCCCAGCACCGAAGCCUGUGGUCGUUUGGUCACUAGGCAAUGUGGUGUUUAGGUCGGUUUUUGGCAUUACUGCUUUAUCCCAAGUCCAGCAAUGAGUACGGCUUGUUGUAGUGGCCCUGAGAGGGUGAAAGGCCCGUGGGGGUUUAGCAGAUUUUGCCCUUGACUGAUCUUGGAGUCGGGUUGUUUGUGAAUGCAGCCCAAAGUGGGUGGUAAACUCCAUCUAAGGCUAAAUACUGGCACGAGUCCGAUAGCAAACAAGUACCGUGAGGGAAAGUUGAAAAGUACUUUGAAGAGAGAGUAAAGAGUGCGUGAAACCGCUCAGAGGUAAACGGGUGGAGUUGAACUGCAAUCCAUGAGGAUUCAGCUGGCAAGUAUGAUAUGCGUUUGGGCAUCUUAGCCCGCUCUCCAAGACCGCGUGACUGUGGGUUCCUGCUCUUUGGGUGGGGAUGUGCGCUGCGCUUGUCAAGUGCUGUACGCUUGGAGAGUGAGGGGUUAACUUGUCAGUGCACUUUCUUGUGGUGUUCAUCACGACCGGCGCUGCUGUCUGUCUACUCUGGUCGAACCGGUUAGGCUUGGUCUUUUGGUCAGGCUUGGUCGGGAUGGCAGGUAGCUCUUUGGUUCUUUGCUGGCUUCGGCUGGCUUGAGUCAAUGAGUGUAAUCAGCUGGCUAUGGUAGGUCAGUGCAGCGCGUCGGGGCUGGCGGCUUCGGUGUGUGCAUAUGUGCUAUGGCUCUCUGGCAGGGCUGGGUCUGGCUGGCAAAUUGCUUUUGCAGGUUGUCAGUGUCUCGGUCUUGUUUGGUUGGCGGUGGCAUGUGUGACGCUUGCUUGGGCCAAUAGUCCGUGGUGUAGUGGUAGACGAUCCACCUGACCCGUCUUGAAACACGGACCAAGGAGUUUAACAUGUGCGCGAGUCAUUGGGCGUUACGAAACCCAAAGGCGUAGUGAAGGUAAAGGUUCGGCUUGUCCGAGCUGAGGUGAGAUCCUGCUGUUUCCUCUGUCUUGGGCUACCAAGCAUUUGAGCAGUGGGCGCAUCACCGGCCCGUCCCAUGAUGUAGUCGUGUAAGUUGCUUAUGCGCACCGUCGGGGCGGAGCUAGAGCGCACACGUUGAGACCCGAAAGAUGGUGAACUAUGCUUGUGAAGGCUGAAGCCAGAGGAAACUCUGGUGGAGG
rnacentral:rRNA from 1 species